rnacentral:lncRNA from 1 species
AAAUCCUAAGGGGUACUAGGCUAAAAUUCAAAGAGACAAAAGAGACUUGAAAGAAACUGCGGGAGUUGAAUUUAUAAAAUAUUUCAUUCACUUCAACAACUCUAUAUUAAUUGUUUUCGUUCAUAUCUUUUUUCUCCUUUCUCUUUUUUCUUCUUCUUUUUUUCUUUUUCAUAAGGAGUAUGUAUUGACAUGUAUACAUCAUUCUAUUGUUUUCAUUCAUUUCUUUUCUUUUCUAUUUUAU